CAUUUCAUAGUCAAUUUUACUCAGGAUCUUUUUUCUGUCUUUUCAGAUGGGGUUCUUUCCGUUUCCUGCUGGGAAAACCGUUAGAUGCCAUCGUGGAUUGAUGAAUACCGUUGUACUUGAAUAAACAGGAACUCUUCCUACAGCUUCUUUGUCAGCAGCAGCAGCAGGUGAAACCAAAUUAUUAAUCUGAUGGUUCUAAUAUCAAUUUGCCCUUCUGCCACAAAAGAAAAAAAUACUCUUAUUUGCUGUCAUCUACAGAAAAGGAACCUUAAGUGAAUUACGUGGCCUCCUAUGGGAAUGUGCAAUAUGAAGAGCUUCCAGCAUUCAUCCUUUCAACACCAGGAGUCCUUA